GGAAGGCUGCCUGGCAGUUGCGGAAGUGACCCUACCUACCAACAUCAGUGUCACAGCUAGCGGGGUGACCUCAACGACCACUCCAAACCUCAGUGACUCGUCCUCUUCCUCCUCCUCCUCCCCAGGACAGACACCACAGAGCCCUAGCCUCCUGUCUAAGAGAAAGAAAGUCAAGAUGAAGCGGGAGAAGGCCUCCUCCUCCAACAAGCGCCAGUCCUCCCGUGCCACGGAUGCAGACUCCACUGUGCUUAGCAUUGGGGGUAGCAAGCCUGAGGACAUGUUAUGGUUCCACCGUGCUCUCACCUUGCUUAUCAUCCUCCGGCACCUUACGAAAAAGGACCCACAGGGCUUGGGUGUCACCAGCGAUGCCAUUGCUGAUGCC
rnacentral:lncRNA from 1 species